rnacentral:rRNA from 1 species
UACGUAGGGAGCGAGCGUUGUCCGGAUUCAUUGGGCGUAAAGAGCUCGUAGGCGGCUUGAUAAGUCGGAUGUGAAACCUCCAGGCUCAACCUGGAGUCGCCAUCCGAUACUGUCAUAGCUAGAGUCCGGUAGGGGCCCACGGAACUCCUGGUGUAGCGGUGAAAUGCGCAGAUAUCAGGAAGAACACCAGUGGCGAAGGCGGUGGGCUUGGCCGGUACUGCCGCUGUGGAGCGAAAGCGUGGGGAGCGAACACG